UACGGAGGGUGCGAGCGUUGUCCGGAUUUAUUGGGCGUAAAGAGCGUGUAGGCGGUCAGGGUAGGUCCGUUGUGAAAACUCGAGGCUCAACCUCGAGACGCCGAUGGAAACCAUCUGACUAGAGUCCGGAAGAGGAGAGUGGAAUUCCUGGUGUAGCGGGUGAAAUGCGCAGAUAUCAGGAAGAACACCCGUGGCUAAGGCGGCUCUCUAGUACGGUACUGACGCUGAGACGCGAAAGCGUGGGGAGCGAACAGGG
rnacentral:rRNA from 1 species